rnacentral:rRNA from 1 species
GACGAACGCUGGCGGCGUGCUUAACACAUGCAAGUCGAACGGCAAGGCCCUUCGGGGUACACGAGUGGCGAACGGGUGAGUAACACGUGGGUGAUCUGCCCUGCACUUCGGGAUAAGCCUGGGAAACUGGGUCUAAUACCGGAUAGGACCACUGCCUGCAUGGGUGGUGGUGGAAAGCUUUUGCGGUGUGGGAUGGGCCCGCGGCCUAUCAGCUUGUUGGUGGGGUGAUGGCCUACCAAGGCGACGACGGGUAGCCGGCCUGAGAGGGUGACCGGCCACACUGGGACUGAGAUACGGCCCAGACUCCUACGGGAGGCAGCAGUGGGGAAUAUUGCACAAUGGGCGCAAGCCUGAUGCAGCGACGCCGCGUGAGGGAUGACAGCCUUCGGGUUGUAAACCUCUUUCAGCACCGACGAAGCGCAAGUGACGGUAGGUGCAGAAGAAGGACCGGCCAACUACGUGCCAGCAGCCGCCGUAA